rnacentral:lncRNA from 1 species
GCGGUUAGAGAGCUAUCUGUAAGUGAGCUGGCAUACAGCUCUGUAUAUAAGCUGGAUAUAAGAUCAUGGCUAGCUGUGGUUUGGUUGAGGAAGUCGCUGUGGGCGUUUUGCAGAACGGUUAAGUCCGUCACAAUAGUAACUCACCUCGAUAGAUGAUCGAGCCAAACUAGAGAUGCCAUAACAUUCAUCCCGGAUAAAAAAAAGUAUCAUGGU